UGCCUGGGCGUCACGCAUCGCGCCGCCCCCU
rnacentral:rRNA from 1 species